rnacentral:misc_RNA from 1 species
ACCUAAUAACAUAUAUACAAAUCCUUAUCUCAGAAGUUCAAUUCAACCAAGUAAAAUAUGAAAGGCAACUAAAUGCAAGAUGCUAUCAGCAAUCAAACACUUAUAAAAGGCCAAAUGCCUAUGAUAGAUCAACUAGGCCAUUAGUGAGUGAAGCCCAUACAAUUACCCAAAAAAAUAAUCUCCGUCCCUCUCUCUCUUUCUUCCAAUUUUCCUUUAGCUAUUUUUGUCUUUUACAUUAACCUAA